UGCGCAGGUGGGCUUGUAAGUCAGUGGUGAAAUACUGCCGCUUAACGGUAGAACUGCCAUUGAUACUGCAAGUCUUGAGUAUGGUUGAGGUAGGCGGAAUGUGUUGUGUAGCGGUGAAAUGCAUAGAUAUGACACAGAACUCCAAUUGCGAAGGCAGCUUACUAAGCCAUUACUGACGCUGAGGCACGAAAGCGUGGGGGGCGAACAGGAUUAGAUACCCUGGUAGUCC
rnacentral:rRNA from 1 species